AUACGUAGGUGACAAGCGUUAUCCGGAUUUACUGGGUGUAAAGGGCGUGUAGGCGGUUUAGCAAGUCAGAAGUGAAAUUCCCGGGCUUAACUUGGGCGCUGCUUCUGAAACUGCUUUACUUGAGUGCUGGAGAGGAUAGUGGAAUUCCUAGUGUAGCGGUAAAAUGCGCAGGUAUUAGGGGGAACACCGGGGGCGAAGGCGGCUAUCUGGACAGUAACUGACGCUGAGGCGCGAAAGCACGGGGAGCAAACAGGAUUAGAUAACCUGGUAGUCCGUGCCGUAAACGGUGAAUACUAGGUGUAGGGGGUAUCGAAUCCCUCUGUGCCGCAGGUAACAAAUUAAGUAUUCCACCUGGGGAGUACGGCUGCAAGGUUGAAACUCAAAUGAAUUGACGGG
rnacentral:rRNA from 1 species